GUGCUCACUUCAGCAGUACAUAGACUAAAACUAGAACGAUACAGAGAAGAUUAGCAUGGCCCAGACACAAGGAUGACACGCAAAUUUGUGAAGUGUUCCAUAUUUUU